CAACGAAUUACCUAUUUGAAAAAUAGAAUAUGGUUAAAAAUUGCUGAUGUGAUAGAGGAUUCAAGUACCAUUUACAAACAAAAUAUUGAAGAGAAUGUGCUCAAAAGGAAAUUCAUAUGAAUUCUUUUUUGUUGACCAGGAUGGAAAAAGUCAUUGGAACCCAUAGUUAGAAUAAGAAUAAGUUAGGCCUAGAGGUGUACCAGCCAGAAGUAGAGGAUGACAAAGAAAAUCAACUAUGAAU